AGAGUUUGAUCCUGGCUCAGGAUGAACGCUAGCGGCGGGCCUAAUACAUGCAAGUCGAGCGGUGGUAGCAAUACCAUAGCGGCGGACGGGUGCGUAACGCGUAAGCAAUCUACCUUCCGGCGGGGGACAACGUUUCGAAAGAGACGCUAAUACCGCAUAACACUAGUGGAACCGCAUGGUUUUAUAGUUAAAGAUUCAUC
rnacentral:rRNA from 1 species